UCGGAGCUCCCCCAUGCCGAGGCGAUGGUGCGGUAAUGCGCAUUCCCCUCUCGCCGGGAUGCUUCACUGGAGAAGACACUAAGCACCUUUCGGAAACACUGACAUUUUGGCAGGGCUUCGUUAUUUGGAAGUGAAGGUUGUGUUUGUCUAAGGCCUGGAGCGGUGGUUGGGAGAGGCAGCGUUUCCCACAGUGCCGGGAAAUAAAAGCUGCUCGGGCCAGCCGCCUGAGCAAAUGUUGUCAACUGUACGGCCCUGGCCCCAGCAGGUUUGGGCUCACAGGUGUUUCCUGCCCACAUUUUUGAGGGCUGCAGCUGGCAAAAUAAUGUUUGUUUCUCCUCUUAAAAAAAAUACUUAGAUGGGAACAUUCCUAACACACCUGGGGAAGAAAGCGCAUCCACUUCAGUUGCCAACUCAGACCAGCCACAUCCCGGGAGAAGCCGGAGAGCCCUCCAGCCCACGAUGACAAGGUCGAAGAGCGACCCUGUGUUCCAUCCUUCCGCAGAGCGAGUUUGUUUGUGUCUAGAUGUUAUCUGAAUAUCUGAACACCUGAACAUCUCCAAAUGUGUCUUCAGUGUAGAAAAUUGUAAGAAAUAAAGGAACAAAAGGAAGAAAAUGAAAA